GCAAACGCUGGAACAGUACGACAUCACGGUUACGCAGGACGAAGCGGUUAAAAAAAUGUUCCGUGCUGGCCCUGCCGGUAUCCGUACUACCCAGGCGUUCUCGCAGGAUUGUCGCUGGGAUUCGCUGGAUGACGACCGCGCAGCGGGUUGCAUCCGCUCGCUGGAAUAUGCCUAUAGCAAAGACGGCGGUCUGGCGGUGCUGUAUGGCAACUUCGCCGAAAACGGCUGCAUUGUGAAAACCGCAGGCGUGGAUGACAGCAUCCUUAAAUUUACCGGCCCGGCUAAAGUGUAUGAAAGCCAGGACGACGCGGUAGAGGCGAUUCUCGGCGGCAAAGUAGUGGAAGGCGAUGUAGUCGUGAUCCGCUACGAAGGGCCGAAAGGCGGGCCGGGAAUGCAGGAAAUGCUCUAUCCGACCAGUUUCCUGAAGUCGAUGGGGCUGGGCAAAGCCUGCGCGCUCAUCACCGAUGGGCGUUUCUCCGGCGGUACUUCGGGUCUUUCCAUCGGCCACGUCUCGCCGGAAGCGGCCAGCGGCGGCACUAUUGCGUUGAUUGAAGAUGGCGACACUAUUGCGAUUGAUAUCCCGAACCGCAGCAUUCAGUUGCAGUUGAACGAGGCUGAAAUCGCCGCACGCCGUGAGGCGCAGGAGGCUCGUGGCGACAAAGCCUGGACGCCGAAAAAUCGUCAGCGUCAGGUUUCGUUUGCCCUGCGUGCCUACGCCAGCCUGGCGACCAGCGCCGAUAAAGGCGCGGUGCGCGAUAAAUCGAAACUGGGAGGUUGAUGAUGGCGGAAUCUCAACCACUGUCAGUCGCGCCGGAAGGGGCGGAGUAUCUGCGCGCGGUGCUACGCGCGCCAGUAUACGAAGCGGCGCAGGUGACGCCGCUGCAAAAAAUGGAAAAGCUCUCGUCACGUCUGGAUAACGUUAUUCUCGUCAAACGCGAAGACCGGCAGCCGGUACAUAGCUUUAAGCUGCGCGGCGCUUACGCGAUGAUGGCCGGAUUGACCGAAGAACAAAAAGCCCACGGCGUGAUUACCGCGUCGGCGGGGAACCAUGCACAGGGCGUGGCGUUUUCCUCCGCGCGGCUUGGCGUGAAGUCUCUGAUCGUCAUGCCAAAAGCAACGGCGGAUAUUAAAGUCGAUGCGGUACGCGGUUUUGGCGGCGAAGUGCUGUUGCACGGCGCUAAUUUUGAUGAAGCGAAAGCGAAAGCUAUUGAACUGGCGCAGCAGCAGGGUUUUACCUGGGUGCCGCCGUUUGAUCACCCAAUGGUGAUCGCCGGGCAGGGCACGCUGGCGCUGGAGCUGCUUCAGCAGGAUUCGCAUCUCGAUCGUGUCUUUGUGCCGGUUGGCGGCGGCGGCCUGGCGGCGGGCGUAGCGGUACUGAUCAAACAAUUGAUGCCGCAAAUCAAAGUGAUUGCCGUCGAAGCGGAGGAUUCCGCCUGCCUGAAAGCGGCGUUGGAAGCCGGUCAUCCAGUGGAUCUCCCGCGCGUUGGGUUAUUUGCUGAAGGCGUGGCGGUAAAACGCAUCGGCGACGAAACCUUCCGCCUGUGCCAGGAAUAUCUCGACGACAUUAUUACAGUCGAUAGCGACGCUAUCUGCGCGGCGAUGAAAGAUCUGUUUGAAGAUGUGCGUGCGGUGGCGGAGCCGUCCGGCGCGCUGGCGCUGGCGGGGAUGAAAAAAUAUAUCGCCCUGCACAAUAUUCGCGGCGAACGCCUGGCGCACGUCCUUUCCGGCGCCAACGUCAACUUCCACGGCUUGCGCUAUGUGUCUGAACGCUGCGAGCUGGGGGAACAGCGCGAAGCGUUACUGGCGGUGACCAUUCCGGAAGAAAAGGGGAGCUUUCUCAAAUUCUGCCAGUUGCUUGGCGGGCGUAUGGUCACCGAAUUUAACUACCGUUUUGCCGACGCGAAAAAUGCCUGUAUUUUUGUCGGCGUACGCGUCAGUCAGGGGCUGGAGGAGCGAAAAGAGAUUAUCACCCAACUGUGCGACGGCGGUUAUAGCGUAGUGGAUCUCUCCGACGAUGAAAUGGCGAAGCUGCAUGUGCGCUAUAUGGUCGGCGGGCGUCCAUCCCAUCCGCUACAGGAACGCCUCUACAGCUUUGAAUUUCCGGAGUCGCCCGGCGCGUUGCUCAAAUUCCUGCAUACGCUUGGCACGCACUGGAAUAUUUCGCUAUUCCAUUACCGCAGCCACGGUACCGAUUAUGGCCGCGUGCUGGCGGCGUUCGAGUUAGGCGAUCAUGAGCCGGAUUUCGAAACCCGGCUGCAUGAGCUGGGCUAUGAAUGCCAUGAUGAGAGCAAUAACCCGGCGUUCCGGUUCUUUCUGGCGGGUUAAUUCAGCGUUUAGUUUUUCAGGCCCACAAAGUAAAGUGGGCCUGAUAUCCAGAUAUGAUCUUCCCUCAGUUAUUGGGCUUUUCUGCCAGCCCGGAGCAUCCACUCAUUUAAUUUUGCGAGACGUUUUCCAGAAGGCGCCCAAUCUGCUUGUGGUGAAACUCGGCUCACCAUAUCGUUAGCACCGCCAUCAUUUGCACCUGUUAAAAGCAAUGUAUAAAAUUUUAUACACAAGGGUGUUAUGUUACUCACCCGAGCUCUCUCCAAUGAAAAAGAAAUUCGAUGGGUGGGAUCUUCUCUGGAGGAUCUCCUGGCUUUUCCCAUAACGGUACGUAAAGCAGUCGGUUAUCAGCUUCACAAAAUUCAGUAUGGAAUUGAACCCGAUGACUGGAAACCGUUUUCAGAAAUUGGGGCUGGGGUAAAUGAAAUUCGUAUUCGUGACAACAAUGGUAUCUAUCGCGUUAUGUAUGUCGCUAAGUUUGAAGAAGCACUCUACGUUUUGCAUAGUUUCCAAAAACAGACGCAACAAACCAGUCAGCAUGAUAAAAACAUCGCCAGAACGCGUUAUAACCGGGUGGUGCAACAACGGAGAAACAGCUUGUGAUUGCCAAAACUGAUAGUGAUAUUCGCCAUGUGACGCCAUCUGGCGGUAAUGUUUUUGCUGAUUUGGGGUUUCAUAAGCAGGACGCAGAAAAGUUUUACGCUGAUUCCCUGAAUGAAAUC
rnacentral:rRNA from 1 species